AAGGCCAAUCCUGGACCAUCAGUGACAACUGGUGGCUUGUGUGGUUGUAUAUGCUGGUUGUAUAUGAGGAAUAGUACGUAUCAGAAACUUUGAGGUCCAACACAAAUAGAGUCUAGUCUAUUCCCAUGUUUAAAGUGAUAUGAUAGACAGAUACCUGAAAUAUACAAGGAGUUUGUGGUUAGUCUUGUAUGUAUGAGUUUUAAAGAUAUGGUAAAAGUAGCACUGGCAGAAUAAGCAAAUAAAUGUGCAAGUAAAAUAAAUAAAACGAAGAGGACAAAGCAUUGUUCAUUGCUAAAAUAUGCAGUAAGGAAAAUACUGUUAGUGUACAUUGGAAUGGAUAAUAAGUGGAUAAUAUUUCUGACUCAAAAUGAUAGAGACAAUAGUAAUAAUUACUCAUAAGAGCCAGUGACUGCCCCAAGUCAAUUACAAGUUUGAAGUUUAUAAGAAGAAAAAUAAAUCAAUAUUACAUAAAUUAAUAAAUACCUAAAUGACUAGCUGAAUGAAAGAAAUUACAGAUGAAUGGACAGAAUAUCUCAAACUUUUUAUCAUGAUCUCCACCUAGAACCCUUCAGUGAAGAUGCUGUUUGCUGAUUUGAGCACUCUGCAAUUGAUCAAGUUUCUCAUGUUAACUCCGUUCCAAAAGAGACCCGUGUGAAUAUAGUCAAUGUUCUUGUCUCGGUUUCAGUUGUUUGACAGUAUUCGUGGUAUUAUUGAAAAAUUAUUAAUCAAAUAGCUGUUUAUGGCUCGAUAAUAAUGUGAAAUAUGAUGUUGAUUAAUCAUUAAUGUUGACAUCAUUAAAUGAAAAAGAUGUAUAUAGGAAAUGGUUGUAUUGAUAGCUGUGAGCACUAUUCUAGCAUUUGUUUUUCACAUUUUUCUGACUCACUCAUUGUCAGUGAAUCCGUGAUUCAGCAUCUGCAAAUGUAAGAUUGAAGAAAAAGUUGGCCAAUGAGUAUGCAUAGAACAAUGAUUACAGAUAGUGGCGCAGGAGUCAUGAACCAGGAGUAGUGUAUGUGUGGGACUCUGAGCAUCAGCACAAAACAUAGUUAGUCUAUUCCUUCUGUUCGGAAUAAUCCUACAGGCAGAUGUUUGGGGUACAUAAAGACCAUGUUCUUAUUUUAGAUUCUUAGAUUUAGAUUUCUUAGUAUUAAGGAAUUAAUGAUAGAACCAUUAAACAAAUAUAAGUCAAUAAAUAAAAUUGAAGAGAGUGCAGCAUUGUCCAGCUAUAAAAAUAUAUAGGGAGGCUAUCAAUAUUAUUAAUACAAGUAGAGAAAGCUAACAUCCAUUAAGAAAAUAUCAGAUCAAAGAUGUUCCCUCUUUCUUUGGCGUAAGAUCAUAUGGACACUAAUAGGAUCAAUUUUGUUGUUCUGAACCAAUUCUUCUAAGUCUGCAGUUGCCCCUUUUGUUAAGAGAAAAAACAUGUACUUCAUGGAAAAUUAUGAAUUACCUGAAUGAUUGAGUAAAUGAAAUGCAGAAAGCAGGAAUUAUAGAGGAUGAGGUGUCUGCUUUUAAAAAUAUCGACUCUGUUUUGUCUUCAUUAGAAUGGGUGCACUUGAGCCGAUUGGAAUAUUCCUCCUUUAUCGUUUGUUCUACGGUUGCGUCUAUUUGGUAGUAGCAUAGAGUAAUCAUUAAAAUUCUUCUCUUGGUUUGAGUGGUUAUUUCAAAAUAUCCAAUGAAUUACUAAAAAAGAUAUAAUAUAAUCAAAGAUGGCCAGUGAUGUUCUAGCAAUAAAUAUGGGAGUCGUGUGAAGCAUUAUAUUGAUAAUGCAUCUAUGAAAACUGAGGAUAAUGAAUGAAACAGCUAUAUCCAUAUUAGAAUGACUCAUUGUAGGGAUUAGGAAUCUCUAGGCUCUUGUUGGGAUUUCAUGAACCAUGAUUUUAAAAUUUAUGAUUAGUGGAUUACUAAAUUAAUAAGCAAUUAGAAGUGAAUGGAGAGAAAGAGCACCUGUCCUGUGGACGAUGAUGACUACUGGUGGCAUAUGAGUCAUCUUCAGUGAAUAUGUGUCUGGAACUCUGAGGUGCAUCACAAAAGAAAUCUACCCCAUUUCCUGUUUGAUACAAUUCUUUAGGCGGAUAUCACGAACAUAGAGUGGGUUUGUUUUUGGUCUUUGUACUCAUACAUUUUUAUUCUAUUUUUAUUAUUGGGUUAAUGUGAGAAUCAAUAAACAAAUAUAAACAGAAAUAAAGAUAUAUUAGGUGAAGUGUUGCCCAAUUAUAAAAAUAGGUGGUGAGGCAAGAAAUACUAUUAAUAUGUAUUGGAAAUAGUGAAGUUCAAAGAGAAUUAAAUGGUACGUGUCUGUCACUUCUUUGGCUAAUAAUGAUAUAGACAGGAUAUAUGAACACUGUAGACAGUGUUCGUGUUCUGGGUCAGUGGCAAAUUCAGAAUUGCUCAUCUUCUUAAGAGAAAGUGAAAUAAAUAUGCUGUACUCUAAAUGGUGGUAGCCUAAAUGACUAAAGAAAUGUAAAAAGCAAGGAUCAAUGGUGACAAUGUCUCAAAUUUGUUGUCAUCUUCUCUGCUCUGUACCCCUCAGAAUGGAUGUCCUUGUUCUGUCUUGAGAAUUCCUCUAUGGUCACAUGCUCUGUUUGCACCAUGCUUAGGAAGGAGCAUGUGGACCAAUAAUGAAUGGCUUGUGCUGAUUGAAGCGUUCUUCCCUGGUGACAUGCUGUGGCUGCCUCUUGAUUGGGAGCAUGCAGACCAAUAACGGCUGCAUUUUGUGGAUUUAAGGAUUCCUCCAAGGUCAUGUGCUCUACUUGCACCAUUUUUAGGAUGGAGCCUGGAGAUCUAUAAUGAGCAGCUUGUGCUAUAUUGAGGAUUCCUCCAUGAUCACGCGCCCCGUUUAUACACCAUGCUUGGAAAGGAGUGUACAGACCAAUAAUGGACGUGCUUGUGAUGAUUUGAAGAUGCCUCUGAGGUCACAUGCUCUGUUUGCACCAUGCUUAGGAAGGAGCAUACAGAUCAAUAAUGGAAAGACUUGCUCUGAUUUGAGGACUUCUUCAUGAUCACGUGUUCUGUUUGCACCAUGCUUAGGAAGGAGCAUGGGUACCAAUAAUAAACGCACUCCAGCUGGUCCUAUCGCUCCUUUUUCACGGUAAGCUCUGUGGUUGCAUCUGUGCAUGGCGUAUGGAGACCAGUGUGAGUGAUAGUCAAUGUUCUUGGUUUCAGUGUUUUUUAAAAAAGAUAUUUGUGGCAGUAUCAAGAAGUAUUAAAUAUAAUCAUUGAAGGUAAACUUUGGCCCAUUGGUAAAAAUGGAAUUAAUAUAAAGCACUAUGUUGUUUAAUGCAUAUAUAUAACAUUGGAUUUAAUUAAUGAAAACAUUGAAUUUAAUUAAUGAAAGAGGUGUAUUGCUUUUAGUAAUAAUGACAUAGACAGAUAUUAGAGCUAUUUAAGGAUUUUGCUCUCAAGUUUUUGUGGCUCUUAGGUAAUUAUUUUAUUGUUAGUGAACUGGUAAAUUAAUCAAUAAAAACACGUAGACAUGAAUUAAGAAAAUGAGGUCCAAGCUUGAGCCAGUGAUGACAGCUGGUGGCGUUUGAGUCAUGGAUGAUGAAUAUUAAGUGUCUGGAACUCUGAGAUUCAGUAUAAUAGAAAUCUAAUUUAUUCCUCUGUUGAAAAAAAUCCGUGAGAUAGAUAUUAGAGAUAUCAAGAGUUAUUUGCUUUCAAUAUUACGGUUCAUGAAUUGUGAUUAUAUUAAUAUCAAUGAAUCAGUGAAAGAAUCAAACAAAGAUUUAAAUGAUUAAACGUGAAGAGAGAGAGGCAUAUUCUAAUUGUUAACGUGUGGCAAGGAAAGAAAUACUAUUAAUUAAUUUGGAAUGGGUAAUAAAUGGGUCAGUGGUUUUAACUCUCUGGCUAAGAAUCAUAACAAUUGAUAGGGCAAUAGCACUGAUUAGUAGUUAUCAACGGAUAUGUGAUUUUUAGGUCAAUUCUCAGGUCAGCUGGGUCAGUUGUAAGUCCAAUACUUAUUUUAUUAAGGGGAAAAUAAGCAAAUAUUAACAUCAAUCAAUAAAUACCAACUGACAGAGCAAAUGGAAGGUAGAAUGGAAGAACUAAUGAUCCAAAGUCUCAAAUUGUGUCUUCUGCUCUUCCUUGGAAUCCUCAGAACAGUCACUUCCUGCACUGAUCCUGCCAUGGCCACUGCUCCUGCCAUGGCCACUGCUCUGUGGUCGUUUUAAGGAACAUACAGACAAAUUAUGAACACACUCAAGCCAACAACGAUUCUGUAAUGAUGAAGAUGGUUCAGUGAUGGACAGAUCAGAGCUGAUUUAAUUAUUCCCUGUGAUGAGGAACUUCAGCCCUCUGACUAAGGAGAAUGUCUUGCAAUCUCCGCAGAGCUGGGGACCACACUCCUCUCCUUCACUGCUCUGCCCCUUGUGCCUGACAUGGAGAGCACAUGCAGUAAUCAUCUGUUGAAUAAAUAGGUGAAUACAUGGUGAAUAAAAGAAUGGAGGAGGGAAGCAGUACAUGAACAAGUGAGUCUUGGAGUAAAUAAAGGAAUGGAUAAGUGAAGUAAUGAAAAUGUGAAGGAGUACACAGUGAGUGAAUGGAUCAGCAAUGGGUGCAUAAAUAACUGAAUCAGUGAUUAGUGGAUAAAUGCAUGGUGAGUUAAUGAGUGGAUGAGUUCAUGUGCAAGAAAAAAUGUCACAAAGCGAAUGAGUGGAUGAUGAAAGACUAAGUCAGUGAGUGAAUGAAUGGAAGACUCGUAAGUCAAGGAAUCAAGAAAUGAAAGACCAAUGUGUAAAUGGGUGAGUGAAUCAGUGGAUCCAUGGAUUCCUGAAUGAAUUGAUGAAUUAACAGAUAAAUGAAAGUCAAUUAGCAAUGAGGAAAUAAAUGAAUGGGUGAGCCAAUGUAUGAACCAAUCAAUGAGUUAAUGACUCAAUGAAGAACCAAAUGAAUGAAUUAGUAAGUCUAGGAAUGAGUGAGUUUACAAAUGAAUACAUUAAAGAAAGAGGAAACAAUUGAAUAAAUGAACUGGGUAAAUAAAUGAGUCAGUGAAUGAAACAAAUUACUGAGUGAAUAAAUAGAGGGAUAGAUGAGUGUUGGAUAUAUUACAGUUAAUGAAUAAAAAAGUGAAUUAGUGAGGGAGCAAAUGAGUCAGUGAAUGAGUAUGUAAUCAAGGAAUAAAUUAGCUAUGGGAAUGAGUAAGUGAAUAAGUGAAUGAGUCAAUAAAUUAGUGAAUUAGCUUAUUCAAGUGUGAGGCAGUGAAUGAGUGAACUCAUACUAGGACUGUUUCCCCGACUGUUCCACAGAGAGUAGUCAUGUCCCGACUUCAUGCCGUGGCAUAAAUAACUCAAUCAGAGCACCCACCCUCCAUUGUGGGCGUUUGUUUACAUGUCAUCAUUAAACUGAUGUGCCGCAGGGGCCAGGAACUGGGUCAAAUUAUUCUCUGUAUCCCUGGUGCCUGCCAACUCUGUGCCUCGGAAGCACCCAGUAAAUUGUUGCUGAGUGAAUGAACGAAUAACUAAAAAUACACGUGCUUAUUUGGAACCAGGACGGCCCGUCUGAGAAUGGCCUGGGAGCUGUUCUUUGGGGAAGUGUGCUGUGUGUCAGAUGGUUUGUGGCAUCCUCCUACACAAGUCCAGAUUCUGCCUUGAGUCCAGCUUCCUGUGUCCAGUGCCAGACAGUGAGACAGGAUACUGGCAUUUCGGACUUCCCUGGACAUUGGCCCAUCCUUGGGCAACGCUGGCUUGGCAUGGUGGAAUCGAGGCCCCAGGUCUUCCCGAAAGCUGCCCUUGCCUCUGCCAAGACAGGAGAUCAAAAAUAACCCAGUCUUGUUUUUAUGGCUCCAGUGAGUGGGCCCACUCCAUGCCUUUCCAAGCAGACCACAUUCCUCCUUGCUGUGGUUGUGGGACUGUGGGUAGGAGUACCCCUUGACUUUCAGCCUCAGCUUCGUCUGGUAGACGAGAAUAACAAUACCGGCCGGCCUGAGUGGAUGUGUUGUUUCACAGGACCUUAUUUAAUACAUGUCACAUACAUAGCAUGGUACUUGGGAGGAAAUAGAUGCCUCAGAGAUCUUAGGUGCCAACUUUCUUCAUCCUCACCCAAAGUAGUUAUAUUUUAUGAUUUCAAAUGCAUUAAUUUCAAAGCUCUCAAAUGGAUGUGAUACUCAAAUUCCCCUCUUCCAGAAGAUUGGAGAGUUCCACUAAGUAAUAGGAAGAAUGCCGGCCUGGAUGGUAUUCCAGGCCAGUCCCGACCUUCAAGACGGCAUGGCAUGCUCUUCUACCAGGAAACAGACAGCCAGAAAACAAGGACAGCCUGGGUGAGUCAGCUCCUGGGCUGAGAUUUGUGUGGAAGGAACUCUACUGCUAUGAGCAAGGCAGCGGCCAUGCAAAGCACAGCUCCUGAAUCCAGGAUCGGGUCAUAGCCAGUGGCUAUCAGGGCCUCAGAAGGAAGAGCCAGCGGGAAACACCAGGCCCCCGGGACUGUAUGGGACAUUGGCCCGGCACAGGGAGGAGAACAAGUGGAUGUCCUCCUGCCUGGAGCCUAUGAAGGUGCAGUGGCUGAGCUACGCUUCCAGAGGAUGACGGUGAUGGGCUCAGCGUCUGUGUUGCUGGGUGAGCUGCUUUUCCUGGUUACGCUCUGAAAUACUUGUGUACCUGUGACUAAGGGCCAAACUCGGGCUAGAUGAUAGGCAGUCAAAGAUGGGCUUUGUGACAGGCUGGAGCGCCUGUGAUGGCCUCAGAGAGGGGCCAGAAUGCAUGUGCUUCUCACCAAGAACAUUCGCAAGCAGCGGCUGGGUCAUUGCUCACAGCUGCUUCUCUGCGUGGAGGGCAGGGCUGGCUAGAGACUUCCCUUAUCUCUGGUCCCACCUAAGUGGCAGGAGGCGUGUUGACUUUGCAGCUGACCAGAUGCCAGCUUGAGAUGGGGCUCAGGGUGACGUUCACACUCCUGCCCGAAGGCUCUUUUAAAAAUUAUGUAGCUAAUUGCAUUCCAUUAAUUCAUUACCGUAAUGGAGAGCGCGAUAAGCAGGGAUCACGUACGUUUUCCCCAUAAAACAACCUCAGCUAAUGGCUAACAUUUAUUGCACGUAAUUUUUAAAAAUAUUUCUCCCAUUAAAAAAGCAAUACAUGUUUAUUAUAAAAAGCUUGAACAAUAUUGAAAUAUUGGACAAGUGUAAGAGCAAGAAUCUCCCUAGUUCCUCCACUCAGAGAUCACCAUUGCCAACAUAUUGGUGGCCAGCCUCUGCCUUUUGCUUUCUUCUAUAAAUUAGGUGUGUAUGUGGCUGUACGUGCUUAAUUGAGUUCAUCAUUGCCAUCCUGUUUUUUAUUUCCACUAAUUAUAUAUCCUGAACAUUUCCCAUGCCAUUAAGCAAUUUCUUAUCUUGUGCUUUUUAAUGGUUACAUAGGAUUCUAGCAAAUGGCUAUAUUGUAAUUAAUUUAAUUGGUUUGCUUUUAUUGAGUAUUUAGAUCCAUUUAGAAGUUGGAUUGUGUAAGUUGGGGCAGACAUCUGUUUAUUCAUUGUCACGUCCAUGUCUGAUUCAUCUUCUGCAGUUCAUUCUAAAUGUGAAAUGUCGUGUCAAAAGCUGUGAGCGUUUUAUGGCCAAAUUGCCCUCUUAACACUUGUAUCAACUGACAUUCUCAGAAUUAGUUUAAAAGUACCUGUUUUUCUGGGAAUUAUCGAGGUUGAUUACCUUUGUCAAUUUGUCAAAACACAGCAUUUUGUUCUUUUCGUUGGCAAUCAUUUUAUUACCUGUGAUAAAGAACAUUUCUCCCUAUCUUUUUUGGUUAUCUGUAUUUGAAUUGCCAGUUCAGGUUCUUUUCAUUUUUCAUUUAGUUUUUAUUUUCAUCAAAGACAUGCAUAUGCAUCGUUUUAAGAGUCAAAGAGUUCUACAGGAUCCUUGCAGAGCAUCAGGAUCAGGCCUCCAGCCCUCCCAGCUCCACCCUAAUUUCUGCUUAGUGGAACCAAUAGUUUCUAACUCCUUUCACUGGUUCUCUUGACAUUUACAUUUGUAUAUCUAAGUCACAUUGUUUUUCUCUUCUACUUCUUGAUUUUCUUUUUCUUUUUUGAGGCGUAGGCAUUAUCUUGACUUUGCGACUGUAGAAGAUGAGGAUUUGACUCCUUGGUCUCACUGUGCCCCCCUUUCUUCUUUCUGUGCACCAUCCUCAAUAUAUUUAGUACGUAGUUCGGGUUUGAUCCAAAUUCAGAGUUCACCUUUUCAUGAGAGUGUAAGCACUGCUGAAAUCUGAGCAACAUAGCACUAUGAUUCACCUUUCCUUCGUGACUAUUUUUUCUUCGGGAGUUAAUAAUUACCUUCUAUUUUUUUCUCUUUGAUUGGUUGGUUAGUUUUUUUACAAGCCUAGCUGAUUUAUUACUAGCCUUUCAAUAUAUACACAUUAUUUUUAAUUUUUUAAAAAUGUGUUUUAUCCUAUCUAGAAAUAUCUUCCUAGAGCCUCCUGGCUGGUUUUGUUAUAAACUGGGUAAUCUUUAGGCUUCUGGACACCAUCUUAGUAUCUCUUUGACAUUCUCCUUCUGAGGAUUCCUUUGAGCCUCUCUCCUUAGCUGGAUUUUGUAGAUUACCUGCUUUUGUAGAUUCUGUGUUAUCAUCCUUUUUGGCUUACUCCCUUGUUUUGCUAGAGUGCAUCCUCUAGCAGUUUCUGUAGAAAUGCUUAAUGGAAGGUAAAUUUUUAGAGACCUUUCGCCUCUAAAAAGGAAAAUGUCUAGUCCACAUUGACAUUGAAAGUUUGGCUGGGUAUAGAAUUUGAAGUUGGAAACCUUCUUUUAUUUUGGCUCAGAUUUUGAAAGCAUAAAUCAUUAUCUUGUGACUUUCAAUGCUGUUGGCGAGAGGUCUUAAGUCUUAGUGAUUCCUCAUCCCUUCUAUGUAAUUUGUUUUCUUCCUUUCUGGAACUUGUAGAACUUUCUCAUUGUCUUCCAAUGUUUUAAAAUUUCACAUGUUUUUGUCUUGAUGUAGAUCUAUGUUUAUCCAUUUUUCCAGGUUCUUUUAAUCCGAAGACACUUGUCCUUCAGUUCUAGAAACUUGUGUUAAACAACUGGUUGGAUCAUUUCCUCAUAUUUGUUUUCUCUUCCUGCCGUUUUUUUUUUCUUUUUCUUUUUCUUUUUCUUUUUUUUUUUUUUUUUGAG